CUUAUUUGGCUCCUGUCUGCAGGGUUUACGCGCACGUUGGAAUCGAAGAGAGCUCUGUUGUUGCAAUGUUCAGCCCACAAGAGCUUACAGGUGAAGGAAUGGGACAAGACCCAUCUUUAUGCAAAGCCAGCGUUACAGUAAUGUUCCAGGUAUUUCUGAUGACAGUCUGCCUCUAUCUUACAGAGCAGCUUGUUGCUAUAUACCAUUGAAAAGCCUUCAGAGCUAAGAGGUACUACUAACCAAUAACCUGCUUGGCUCAAAGGGCCAGCACCUUCUCUCUAAAGCCCAAGAGGAGUUUGAGGAAAACUAGGUGUCUCUGUUCACUCCAGGCUGAAGUUACAGGUUUGAGGAAAGGUGUAUAAAAAAUGGACAUCAGAAGUUGAAUUUUCCAAGUCCUUGGACAACCUAGCUGUUGAAAAGCUUUCUGGAUUUGGGGGGUCUUUCAGAUGUACCUUAAAGUGUUAGCAGACACAGAUUAAGACACUGGGAGCCAAUGAAACAUAGCAGUUGAGGGUUUGCUAUGUAUCACAUUUCUGUAUUUUAUCACCUCCUUCCUGCAACAUUAUUUCUGUGGAAUCUACCUGCCCUUUUGUUUUUUAGAUACAAGGGCUUGGUUUUGUUACCAAGGCUGGUUUCAAGGCCCUAGCUUUAAGAGAUCCUCCCACCACAGAUUUCCAAAGUGCUGGGAUUGCAGGUAUGAUUAGUGGCACCCAGACUUUGCUGCCUUUCUUACAUGAUCAAGGCCCG
rnacentral:lncRNA from 1 species